rnacentral:rRNA from 1 species
AGUGAACGCUGGCGGUAGGCCUAACACAUGCAAGUCGAACGGCAGCACAGUAAGAGCUUGCUCUUACGGGUGGCGAGUGGCGGACGGGUGAGGAAUACAUCGGAAUCUACUUUUUCGUGGGGGAUAACGUAGGGAAACUUACGCUAAUACCGCAUACGACCUACGGGUGAAAGCAGGGGAUCUUCGGACCUUGCGCGAUUGAAUGAGCCGAUGUCGGAUUAGCUAGUUGGCGGGGUAAAGGCCCACCAAGGCGACGAUCCGUAGCUGGUCUGAGAGGAUGAUCAGCAACACUGGAACUGGGACACGGUCCAGACUCGUACGGGAGGCAGCAGUGGGAAAUAUUGGACAAUGGGCGCAAGCCUGAUCCAGCCAUACCGCGUGGGUGAAGAAGGCCUUCGGGUUGUAAAGCCCUUUGUUGGGAAAGAAAAGCAGCAGGUUAAUACCCCGCUGUUCUGACGGUACCCAAAGAAUAAGCACCGGCUAACUUCGUG